AGAUGAAGCUGAUUACAAGACGGAAUAGAUGUGAAGAUUUAAUCUUCACCUUGUGCACUUCGUGGUUCAGAUCUUGCUCUCUAUUGAGCUCAAUUUAUUCAUUGUUUACAUCUUCAAAUAACUUAAAAAUUGACAAUGCAUGUUCAUGUGUUGAUGUGGAUUCCUUGUCAUUAAUAUUAAAUAAUAUGUCAUUAUUUAUCACGUCUACAAUGUCUUGAUUUAUUGUAAACAUGAGUACCUUUUUGAUGUCAAAAUGAGCUUAAAGAGUGUUCUUGAAAUUCACUUGGUCAAAGAAUUGCUUCAAUGUGGCAGAUAAUAAUCUUACAAAAAAAUAUAAUGAGUAACUUUUGAGCAGGGUCAGUAGAUUAAAUAGAAAAAAUAUAAGAUUUUAGAAAUAUUAUUUGAAAUGAGACAAAGCUAAAUGGGAUUGAUUGUACAAAAUAAACAUAUUCUCAAUAUAUUAUAAAUUUAAAUAAAUCAAAUAACUCAUAUUUUUUAAUUUUAAAAUUUAUGAAUUAGGUACAUGAAACUGUCAAUGACAGAUAAAAAUACAACUAUAAAAAUACAAAGUAAAAAAUAACAUAUCUAUUAAGAAUAAAGUAUACAUAAUUAUUUUGAGAUCAUGUUUAAGAUUCUUAAAUACUAAUACAUAUAGUUUUUUUUUUCAAAUGCAUCAAUGUGAAAAAAAAUGAUUUUUUUAAUAGAACCAUUAUUAUUAUUAAUAGUAGGGCUUCUUGCUUCAAUUGGAGAUUAAAUUAUUUAAAUGAUUUUUGAAGAUGCAAUAAAGAACAACAUAAUGGAUGUGUACAUGGAUGAAAAAAUGAAUUUAAGGCUAAUUUGGGAGAUGUGAUAAAGAGCAACAAUUAUCUUUGAAGACACAAUUAUUUAUAAAAAUAAUAUGUUCAAUAUUUAGUAUUUUGAAGACUCACAAUUGUUUUGUUACAAUAAAAAAUAAUUAUAGAUAAUUGUGGAAGAAUAGUACUUUUCAAUGUAUGAUGAUUUUCUAUAUAUAUGUAUUAUGCACAAAUGUAAAUAAAAGUAAUGUAUCUGUUGAUGAAAUUUUAAGUAAAAAUAAGCAUUGUUUGUCCUUAUACUUAAUUGUAUCUUAUUGCUUAAAUGUCCUUAUACUUAAAGAUUAAGAUAAAAUUUUAAACUUAAUACUUAAUUAUCUUAAUUUAUUUUAAUCUUAAUACAAUUAAGAUUAAAAUAAAUUUACAUAGUUUUUGUACAUUACAUUGAGAAUGUUUUAUUUUUUUAUUCCAUGAUUUAUUGUUCUAGAGUGUAAAUGUAAUUGCUAAAACUAUGGAAAUACAUGCAGUAAUUGCUUACUAACAGGAUAGGGUUU
rnacentral:lncRNA from 1 species